UCCACCUGGAUGAUGCGACGGCACCUAUAUUGCGCCAGAACGCUCACCACACACCAGCUUACUGGUGGAGAGGAGAUCAUGCUGGUGUCCUGCUGAACCCCCUGUCUAAGACAAUAUCCACAGCUAUGAACUCUACUAGUGUGUUUUGAAAUACGUUGGCCAAUGAUACAGACACCAUACUAUCCAACUCAAAGAUGAGAUAUAAUCGUUUGACCCUGUGAUUCUUCAGGACAAGAUCUUGAUGCCAUCCACACUCAGUACUUGGCGGAAGGAGCUAUAAGAAAGUACCUUGAAUGGGUUACAAGAAAGACAACAGAAGGGAGCCUCCAGGAAGUGGUUUUGCGGUGUUUGAAGGGAGCUGCUGACAGAGAAGGGGGCAGGAAACAACGACGGGAAAACUGAAGGGGUUCAAAUGCAUUUAGUUUUUUAAAAGUUAAAAUUAAAAUGUUUAAUAUAUAUAUUAGGGUGUGUAACGCUGCACGUAUUAGUAUUAUUGAACCAUUCGGUACGAGGCUUUCGGUAAGCAUUUUUAAGCCAAACGGUUCGUUGGAACAUUUUUCCUGCCAACCAAAAUUUUGCUAUUUGAAAUGUAGGCAAGUCGUGCAUGGCAAGCGCGCUCAUAAUGUAAGAGACGCUGGCAUGACCACCACAACAUUGCCCAACAUCAAAUGGCAAAUGUAAUGUAAGCGGAAUGAAACGGUGGUGCGUUUCCUGAUAGCAUUGGUAGCCAACUAUGAUCACAAGUUCCGUCGUUAUCAGCAUAGUUCAACGAGUCUGUGUUUCCCGAAACCAUCGUUCCAAUGAAUAUUCCCAAACAGUAUCGCAGAGUUGUUUGGUUGGAAUGACAGCUCUCGUGCUGUGGUUAGAGCGAGGCAUAAUUUCUAGAUUGCAUGAGAUGUGGACGUAAUAAAUCCUUAUCUUGAGCAAAAUAAGCAAGCUGACAUUCAGUAC